GGUCCCGUAGUGUAGCGGUCAUCACAUCGGUUUCUGAUACCGGUAACCCCGGUUCGAUUCCGGGCGGGACCU
rnacentral:tRNA from 1 species